AAAGUCGUAACAAGGUAACCGUAGGUGAACCUGCGGUUGGAUCAUUACAAAAUUCUGUCAAUGCCUGUUCCCAGCGCCUUCGGGACGGGGCAGGCGGUGACUAAUCCACUUUGUGAACUCGACUGUUUUUUUGUGAAAGGGUGGAGGAGAUGCGUCCUUGAGUGGACCCGUCUUCUCUUCCCGGAGUCCUCGGAGACCGCGUUAGACGCGAUGCUGCGGGGGCCGCACAAACUCGAAUCAAUCAUUACGUUAUUUCUGAUCAAAUUGAAAAUAUAAUGAGAAACAACUUUAGACAACGGAUCUCUUGGCUCUC
rnacentral:misc_RNA from 1 species